CUGAAACCGUGUACGUACAAGCAGUGGGAGCACGCUUCGGCGUGUGACUGCGUACCUUUUGUAUAAUGGGUCAGCGACUUAUAUUCUGUAGCAAGGUUAACCGAAUAGGGGAGCCGAAGGGAAACCGAGUCUUAACUGGGCGUUAAGUUGCAGGGUAUAGACCCGAAACCCGGUGAUCUAGCCAUGGGCAGGUUGAAGGUUGGGUAACACUAACUGGAGGACCGAACCGACUAAUGUUGAAAAAUUAGCGGAUGACUUGUGGCUGGGGGUGAAAGGCCAAUCAAACCGGGAGAUAGCUGGUUCUCCCCGAAAGCUAUUUAGGUAGCGCCUCGUGAAUUCAUCUCCGGGGGUAGAGCACUGUUUCGGCAAGGGGGUCAUCCCGACUUACCAACCCGAUGCAAACUGCGAAUACCGGAGAAUGUUAUCACGGGAGACACACGGCGGGUGCUAACGUCCGUCGUGAAGAGGGAAACAACCCAGACCGCCAGCUAAGGUCCCAAAGUCAUGGUUAAGUGGGAAACGAUGUGGGAAGGCCCAGACAGCCAGGAUGUUGGCUUAGAAGCAGCCAUCAUUUAAAGAAAGCGUAAUAGCUCACUGGUCGAGUCGGCCUGCGCGGAAGAUGUAACGGGGCUAAACCAUGCACCGAAGCUGCGGCAGCGACACUAUGUGUUGUUGGGUAGGGGAGCGU
rnacentral:rRNA from 1 species